ACUCCUACGGGAGGCAGCAGUAGGGAAUCUUCCACAAUGGGCGCAAGCCUGAUGGAGCAACACCGCGUGAGUGAAGAAGGGUUUCGGCUCGUAAAGCUCUGUUGUUAAAGAAGAACACGUAUGAGAGUAACUGUUCAUACGUUGACGGUAUUUAACCAGAAAGUCACGGCUAACUACGUGCCAGCAGCCGCGGUAAUACGUAGGUGGCAAGCGUUAUCCGGAUUUAUUGGGCGUAAAGAGAGUGCAGGCGGUUUUCUAAGUCUGAUGUGAAGGCCUUCGGCUUAACCGGAGAAGUGCAUCGGAAACUGGAUAACUUGAGUGCAGAAGAGGGUAGUGGAACUCCAUGUGUAGCGGUGGAAUGCGUAGAUAUAUGGAAGAACACCAGUGGCGAAGGCGGCUACCUGGUCUGCAACUGACGCUGAGACUCGAAAGCAUGGGUAGCGAACAGGAUUAGAUACCCUGGUAGGCUAGCG
rnacentral:rRNA from 1 species